GACGAGAUAGCCAAGCCCGGUAUGGCGCUGGAUUGCUAAUCCAGUGGUGCAUCGCACCUCGGGGGUUCAAAUCCCCCUCUCGUCG
rnacentral:tRNA from 1 species